rnacentral:lncRNA from 1 species
UUGGCGCAAUACUUUCAGCAUGUGAACACCACAUGGGAAAGAAGCUGGCAUUGAACUUAGGUUUCCAGAGCAUCUAUUAUGGUCUGCACCCUCCUGGGAAACGGGUAUAUGUUAUCUAUGCAGGCAGUUUUGCAAACAAGGCUCUGAACUUGAAGCUCAGAGGGUGAGCGAGACCUCGUGCGCCCGGGGCCUCUGCUUGCUCCAUGUCGGUGCCCCAACGUCCAGGGAUGCAAAGCACAGAGGACCCUUAGAAGCCACACCUGGAAGUGCUCAUUCAAUGGACCGAGGGAUGAAAGUGAGGAGAGAGUUAGGGGAGCUGUGCACAGUAAGUAGGGGCUGGAAAUGGGAUGUGACCCAGGACAUCCAGCGUGGUUAGAUUUGGCCAGGAGAGCUGUGACAAUAGGGGAAGCUGGUCCCCAAACCCCACACCCUUUUAAAAAAUCAAUCCUGGUGGGCGCAGUGGCAGAAGGACCUGAGUUUGUUACAAAGACCUCAGCAAUCCUCUCCCUCUCCUGACCUGUAAACACCAAGAGCCGGAGACAAUGCAAGUGUCAGACGCUUCUCCACCCGCAAUGAGGCCUGGGAAGCCCAAGUUGAUUGGCUUUCUUUCCAGGAAGGCAGAGCCCAGACGCACUUCAAGGUGGGUAUUUCUGUUUGUUUCCUCCUCAAGGAAAGCACAGCUGAAGGGCUCACAUAUUCCACACCCUCUUUUCAAGGCUCAUUAAUAAGGAGCCCAGGGCAAAAUCAUACACGAGGCAAACUCCACAACCACUAAGGCCGGCAGAGCAGUGAGAGCUGCAUUAAUGGGGAAUUUCAGUGAAAUGCCGCCCAGCUCCUAAAUUCGUACCAGAUGAGUUCCAGAAGAUUAAAGUUAUUACAAUAAAGCCCCAGGGAAUCAAAUCACGCUCUGCCUUGUAACCUUCUUGGUUUUCUGCAUCAUUCACACAAACCACUUUCUGCAGGGCACUGGGGUGUUCCCUAGCUCGGCUGGACCCACAGGCCCCAAUAAAGCACUUCAGGUUAGAAAGCCUAGCAAGAGGACAGGCUUGGUUCAGGUCACCUGUUGCCUAUUACAAUGAAGUUAGAUGUCUCCUGACCUCAGCCCAUCUGUGAAGUUAAAAACCCUGUUGGAUAAAAAGUUUCUGCUUCAGUCUUGCUGUCCACGCCCGUGGAAGAAACUACAAUAGGGGAUUUACUCUCCUGGCCCAAAUCAGGUCCAGCUUCUGGGCCUCCCUACUCCAUGCUGGGGGAUACUGGACAUUCAGAGUGCCUUUCUGUCAGCCCCGCAACACAGCCCCACUGGGGUGGCUGACUGUGCUGACCUUGUGUCUCUGAGCUCAGUUUCAACUGGGGUGUAUCUGAGGGUUAGUCUUCAGAGACCUUGGAAUGAGGUAAGACUUUCCUAGUUCCAUGUAGGUGAUUAUUUUUCCUUUUGUCUAUAUUGAGUUAUUUUGGUUCAUUUGAGAAGUAACUGGGCAGGAGGCUUGUUGACAUUUACUUGAAAUGCCAUCCUUUGUCACCUCUAAAUCAAUCUGUCCUCUUCUCCAGGAUGGGAUCUCUUUGAAACGAGUAGUUUCAUUUUCAAGGUCGGGGCUCUAGCACCUAGCCCAGUGUGUGGCAGGCAGGGAGUGCUCAGGGCAUGUUUGUGGGGACUUUUCUCAACAGUGUGCAGGGCUGAAUGAGGGAGUGGAAGCCUCUACUCUGCAACGAAGAUAAGACAAUUAUGAUCAGCCUCUGAAUUCCCAUCACCAUUGCCACCAGCUGGGCCAUAGGCACUUGUGCAGCCACAUGGAAUACCUCCUUUGUUAGAAGUACCCAGUUUGGACACUGUGGCC